rnacentral:lncRNA from 14 species
AUGCUGACCAUGAUCAGGGGCGCCACCUGGUGGCCGGAGUCUCAGCCAUGGAAGCCUCGGACCAGACCUCUGUCCAGGUGUGCCAGUGUCCCGGGUGGGCUCAAAAGACACUCAGACUUUUCUCCACACACCCAGGUACUUGCUAAUGUAAAAAGUGAGUUGCAGCCCACAGAAUCAGGAAGCUGA